GUAGGGAGCAAGCGUUAUCCGGAUUUAUUGGGUGUAAAGGGUGCGUAGACGGGAAAUUAAGUUAGUUGUGAAAUCCCUCGGCUUAACUGAGGAACUGCAACUAAAACUGGUUUUCUUGAGUGCUGGAGAGGAAAGUGGAAUUCCUAGUGUAGCGGUGAAAUGCGUAGAUAUUAGGAGGAACACCAGUGGCGAAGGCGACUUUCUGGACAGUAACUGACGUUGAGGCACGAAAGUGUGGGGAGCAAACAGGAUUAGAUACCCUGGUAGUCCACACCGUAAACGAUGGAUACUAGGUGUAGGGUGUGAUAAACAUUCUGUGCCGUCGCAAACGCAGUAAGUAUCCCACCUGGGGAGU
rnacentral:rRNA from 1 species